rfam:Angiostrongylus cantonensis strain Taiwan genome assembly, scaffold: ACAC_contig0013084
GGGGUUAUAGCUCAGUGGUAGAUCGCUCCCCUUACAUGGGAGAGGGAUGGGGUUCUAUUCCCCAUACCUCCA